UCUGGUGUCUGCAGGCAGUUCAUUAACCAGAACAUAAAGGGGCCGACAGGGGGAUGUGUUACUGCCAAGCUUGUGGUGACCACGUGAGCCUGAGUCAGACAUUUUAUUUUGUGUAUCCCAAGAAAAACACAGCUGAGAGCCUCCCGUGGGUAAUUGUACAAUGCUGUUUGAAAAAAAACAAACCAUAACAGCUUCAGGACAGAGGGAGACAGGAACAUGGGCCCCAACCCUCUAGGGCUGCUCAGCUGUGAGCAGAGGGCUCUGUUUAAUUUGAGAAAGCAGCCUAGGUGCCAGGUUUGAGGACGCCACUUUAGAAGACUGGAGCCCCUCUCUGAGUCACCUCAUAGAAGCCACAAACUACAGGGAGACCAGCCACAAACUGCAGGAAGGUUGCUGACUCAGCAGGGGAGCAGGCUCUGGAGGCAGCAAGGCUGUCCGAAGAGCUCCAGUCUGUUCAAGGUGGGACUCAGCCUGCGCCCACAGCAAAGUAGGGGAGCAGUGUCCUACAAACCAGCAAGCACUUUCAUUGGAGAGAGGCUUUAACAGGCACAACAUGAAGACAGAGAAGUGUCUUCUGUCCACAGGACUGGCCGGGGUCUGGAAGAAAAGCCUAAUCUUCCUCGGGAGCAGACCUAGCGAUAUGGAACAAAAUAUGCCAGCAGGCAAGAACCUCAAUGCACCUUCACAGACGUUGCAGCAGCUGUUCAGAAACCACCGUGUCAAAGUGACCAUUCUCCAGUCACCCUCAUCCCAAGCAAUGGAGCUUGGAUCACCCUGCAGCACCGGCACCACCAACUGACUGCAGCUUCAGGCUCCAAUGUAAACACUGAAGUGAUGUGGCCCCGUUCAAAUCAGUCAGUCAGCGGAGAGCAUCCCUGGACAGGAGCAGCAGAGCCUGGAUCCCAGCACCAUGCAUUGGUAACUCAAUGAAACGAUUCAUUAUUUGCAGGUAUUGGUUCAAGAGGAGAGAGAGUGCCAUUCCGUGUUCAUCAAAGCUAUCUCCGAGGGUGGCUCAGCCUGCCCUCUCUUGGCAUUCAUAGGCCAGCAACCAGAUGACCCAGAUGAACAACACGGACACAGGCGUAUGCAGCCGCAACCGGCACAAUUGUGUAUCUUGUGAAAAAACCCAAAGACUCUCUAUCAUCUGAGGGCACCAUCUCCUGGGCACAGGAAGAAAUACAACAGAACUGCACUUGCCACAGAUCUGAAUUUUUUGUGCAAAAUACUCCAGAAAAAAGCUCAGUGAUUGAAUCAGAGAGUGCAAACUGGCAUGUCACGGACAGCUCUGUCGUUACAAGCGUUUCCAACUCUGUGGUCUGCACAUUACUCCUCUGAGGAUAAUCUGGACUGCGAAGGUCCAGCUGCAGAGACAAGGCGGAAACUUGUUGAAGAGCCCUAAGGGAGUCUCGGUUACUACCUCCAGACAUCUCCCAGCUGGCUGCCUCUUUCCAGACAACCCAGCACCUCAUUUAGUUAUGACUUCAGAGCACUGUCAUUGAGCUCCUUUUACUGGAUCACCUGCCAGUCAAGACUCAGCGUGGUGGGAUGCGGACUCUGCCACACACAGACACUGCAGCCCUUCAAACCCCAAACAGACCACUCCAAACGCAGGUCACAGGUAAAACAACUUUAUUCUCAGAUUGAACCCGUACAUUUGUAGUGAGCAUGCUCAGUUUUGAGGCCACCCCGCAGCAGCGUUCACAUUAGUUGCAUAGGAAUAUGUAAUUCCAAAAUGAGGCACCACACACACAGCACAGAGCAAGACACUUGCUAUCCUACAGCCUGUCACCCCCUCCAGCUCAUAUGUGCACUGGAGCCCAGAGCCACAGCAGCUUCACAGGGACCAGAGUCACAUGCACAGCAACUCACCAGGUAAAUCCUGCUGCCACAGCAAACGCCACAGACAGCAUCUCAUCGCCCAGAGUGCACUGCAGAUAAGGCAGAGCAACACAUGCACUGCUCACAUCUCACAUGUGCUUUGCUCUGCAGUGGGAGGCAUCACUGGCUGGGACAGCCUAGCACAGCACAGCAUCUCACAGGACAGGUGGCCCCAGAGGCAAAUACACCACACCACACGGGCUAGAGUCCACCCACAGUAGAGCAAGAUAGAGUGGAAUGAGGU